UUUGCGAUCGCAUACAAGAGUGAGCCAUCUUUUGACGAUGGUAGGAUAAUUAUUGACCUGAGGAAUAAUAUGGAUUUAUGUGGUUGUGAGAAUAGACGUUGUGUUUGUGAUUGUGAAAAUGUGAGUGUGUGUCUGUGUGUGCGCGCGCGCUUUCCUGAACCAGGGAUCCCACUUGACAAAUUUACCAAAGGAGCAUUAGUGGAAAAAAACAGGGUAGCCCUGAGACAAUAGGAUGACGUCACGACCAAUGAGAACGGCCAGCAGGGGGCGCAAGGAUUCACUUCUCUCUUGGACACUGACGGGUCUCGACACGCAAAUUCUGCUCCUGGCGUUGGCCGUCAGUGGAAGAGCGUAGCUUCGGUGGGGUUCUGUCUGCCUCUGAUGGGGUGCGGAUGUGUGGUUCGUCACUGGUGAAUGGUGUUCGACGAUGCAGGUGGAUUUUGUGACGAGCGGAUUUACAAUGAGGGAAUGCUGUGAACGGGAAAAAUGAUGGUGAGUGUCUUUUUCACUCUGUUCAAGUGUUUGUUUGUUUUCCUCUGUUGCCCAGCAGUCGUACAAUUUGUGCUGACGUGUUCUGACAUGCCCCGAUAUGCAUGCUUUCCGGUGUUGACGUUUUUUAUUUUUUUUAUUUUUUGACAAGGAACAUUGUUGUCUUGACGAUAGUGCUGCCCUGAGUUCUGCGCUCCUGUUUACCCGUACUCUUUGUUGAUUUGUUGAGUACCUAGUCCUCUUAUUUGCCGUUGAUGGAGUUACGUGUUAGGAUAUUUUGUUCUUUUGCAAGUCUCAUUUAGUAAGACUUUGGAAUUCCUACGAUCAGCUUUCAUGCAUGGUGCUCUUCUGCAAUAGUUUCCUAUUCAAUCGUUAUAGAAGAAUAAAGGAAAUAAUCAUGAGAUAGUGAUUCAAUAAAUAAUAGGUCCCCUGUCUAGAGCGUACGCGUCCUUGAGCCACGCAGGUGCAUGAUGACGUCAUACUGUGGCCUCAUUGUAGAUUGACCAAAGGAGCAUUAGUGGAAAAAAACAGGGUAGCCCUGAGACAAUAGGAUGACGUCACGACCAAUGAGAACGGGCAGCAGGGGGGCGCAGGAAUGCUCUUCUCUCUUAGCCUCACGACCAAUGAGAACGGCCAGCAGGGGGCGCAGGAAUGCUCUUCUCACCUAGCCUCACGACCAAUGAGCAAUGAGAGAAGAGGGCGCAGGAAUGCUGUUCACUCUUAGCCUCUCGGAGGUGGUCGCCCCAGAGGGCGCUAGGAGCGCGUAUGCGUAGCGGCCGCGGAGCGGCGCCCCAGUCAGUUUCUCUCCGGCUGUCGCAGAAAGCAGACGUGCGCUCCCCGCGCUCGCUCAGUUUCUGGCUGGUUGUCACGGAGAGCAGUCGCAUCGGUCUGCGCUCCUGCUGUGGUGAGGUGAUUUGUUGUGUAACUAAUGCUUUCGUCAACUUUGUUCCCGCUUUGUUUGCGAUUUUCGUGCCAGUGCUGGUUGCUGUUGACCGGGCAUCCCGGGCAUUUUCUAUCAUCUUCUGCCUUGGGAACGGGAGUAGCGCUGGCGUGAUUCUUAAUAAUUUUGUUGCGAGAUUAGUUGAGAAAGUAACCGCUAGGGGAUGCAGCUGCGGGGCUUUAUACA